rnacentral:rRNA from 1 species
UGGUGCCUACGGGAGGCAGCAGUGGGGAAUAUUGGGCAAUGGAGGAAACUCUUACCCAGCAAUGCCGCGUGAAUGAAGAAGGUCUUCGGAUUGUAAAGUUCUUUAAUUGGGGACGAAAAAAAUGACGGUACCCAAGGAAUAAGCCCCGGCUAACUACGUGCCAGCAGCCGCGGUAAUACGUAGGGGGCAAGCGUUGUUCGGAAUGACUGGGCGUAAAGGGUGCGUAGGCGGUGUAGCAAGUUAGAAGUGAAAUACCUAGUGCUUAACUCAGGUGCUGCUUCUAAAACUGCUAUACUUUAGUGCAG